rnacentral:snRNA from 1 species
GUAUGUGAGGGCUAUCUGGCUCAGACAUGUGUCACUGCAUUGAUCUCCAGGGUUGAUUCAGCUGAUCUGGAUGGAUAGACAGAUGUCCCCUUCCGCCUUCAUCACUCUGUGUGCAUCCCUCUGGUCGAAGAGGACAGCCUUCCCUGAAUAGAGCCAGACUAAUCUUCUUGGUCAAGGGUAGUUGUACUUCUCUGCUAGAACCUCCAAAGAAGCGCUCAAGAACGCAGGCAUAGUGCUCACUUCUGCAACACAUAUACUAAAAAAAAAAAAAAAAAGAAUUU